AAUUAAACAAUGAAGGUGCCAUAUUUCUUUAAGUAUGCACAAUUUCCACUUUGAGCAUGCUCAGAAGAAUCUAAGAUGGUGGCACUCAAGCUGCUUAGCUCACUGAGACUCAGCCACUAAAACAAAUGUUCAGGACAAGCUUAUCCCGGGCAAGCUCCCAGCUGGAGUCAUAAGGCAGCUGCAUGGGGUCCACAUAGAUAUAUUCAUGUCCAUCAGAGCUGACAGACUCAAUCACCUUCCAGCGGAUUUCAUAGCGAGGCUUCUGGACAGGGAGAAAAGAAGAUGUUAAAGAAGGGCUGUGCUGUGCCUGUUGCAGCAUGGCUACAGGAUGGGAGAAAUCUGGGACGUGUUCUCCACAUGGUCAGCAAAAGGCAUCUCCUGCCCACCCACCCCACAUCCUCCAUAUCAAGGUCUCUCUCCAAAAGGAUGUUUGCUGCCUCCCUAGGAAGGAGGGCUAACCAACUUGAAGACAGAGCAAUUACGACCCACUGAACAAUGAUGUGCCUUUAUUGUCCCACUGCAACCAGUAGGGCUUGAGUGAGCAUAGUAGUUCUGGACUGUGACAUCCCCCACUCCAAUCCACCAGAGGAGCAGAAAUUUGAAAGCAGUUAAACUUCCUAUGAAAGAUUUCACACUAUCAAAAUAGGAUACUUUGCCACUUUUGGAAAAUGUUCUUUCUUUCCCCACCACCACCACCCCUGCUUCUUCUUCUUCUUCUUUUUUUUUGCCCCACAAGCCUCACCUUUUUGCUAACUUAUUUAUUUAUUUAUGAGGCAAAUUUGCUAAGGGUGGGUGGAGGAAAUUAUUUUAGAUUCUGGAAAAGAUCUUGGAUGUUUUCAGAUUAGUCCAAAUAGCUUUUAACAUUAGUUUUGUAUUAGCUAGGAGUUGAUGUCCCAGAACUGGGGACUUUUCUGCAUCAAUGAAUUUUAUAUAAAUCAUG